rnacentral:lncRNA from 1 species
GGAAUCUGGCCACUGAUCUGGGGACGCUCAGGACAGCCGGCGCUUUUAAUAUCCGCCCUCCACAGCCUCGUCAUCUCCACUGGAGAUGGCUGUGCUGAUUGUACUGCUGCAAAGCUGGAGAUGGGCAGGGGUCUCCAUGCCCUGGUUAUUUCAUUAAGAAGCCAUCGAGAUGCUCUCCAGGGGAGACAGGUGUGAUGAGGUCGAUCAGGACUCCAGGAGUCCAGGUUUCUAGUUCCUUCUAACCCCAGGAUCCUACAAUUUGGGCUGUGGCCACACAACAUGGCUCACCUGCGCUACGUACGGUGGUGAUUUAAACAGGUGUGAGCGUCUCCGGUGCCUGGUGGUUUACGCACAACUCUCCAUGGGCACCUCACAGCCACCGGCGGGCAUGCCAGGCCAGGAUCCCUAGAUGUGGACCCUGUACAAGGGAAGAUUCCUGGCCACGUGGCUUCUGGAGACAAACUUCCAGCGGAAAUAGGCAAAGGGGACAGGAGGUGGUAGGGGAAGGUAGGAAGGCAGGAUUCGGUUUUAGGCCAAGGCUAUAGAGGGAGCUUUCCUCCUCCCAAGUUGAGCACCUUUCACCUGCCCUGGCUGCCAGCAAGCUGGGCUUCCAAGUCCCUGCACCCUCCGGCCACUGGCUGAAUAAACUCCCAAGAAUGUGCCUACAAAGUGGCCAUAGUAGCCCCAUGGCCAGGCAAUGCAGGAGCCUCGAGGCCAGCGGAAGAGUGGAGAGAGGAGAGGAAAAGGACCCAAGGGGAUCGGGUAGAGGCUGCCAGUGUCUGCCUCAGGGAGCUCUGAAGGUCUCCAACCUACAGACUCAGACACUGAGGCUCCACGGGCCUGGAGCUGUCCCUGGAGAGAGCACAGGGUCGGGAUUCCAACCUGCUCCCCAGCGCCCGUUCCUCCCCGCCCGCGUACUGCGAUCACUCCACCAGGGGCCUCUGAGGACCGACGGCUGGAAGCUUCGACCUCUCCC